GGUUAAGUCCCGCACGAGCGCAACCCUUAUCCUUAGUUGCCAGCACGUAAAGGUGGGAACUCUGGGGAGACUGCCGGUGAUAAACCGGAGGAAGGUGGGGACGACGUCAAGUCAUCAUGGCCCUUACGGGAUGGGCUACACACGUGCUACAAUGGCGCAUACAAAGGGCAGCAAGCCAGCGAUGGUUAGCGAAUCUCAUAAAGUGCGUCGUAGUCCGGAUCGGAGUCUGCAACUCGACUCCGUGAAGUCGGAAUCGCUAGUAAUCGUGGAUCAGAAUGCCACGGUGAAUACGUUCCCGGGCCUUGUACACA
rnacentral:rRNA from 1 species